AUGCCCUAGUAACGGCGAGUGAAGCGGCAACAGCUCAAAUUUGAAAUCUGGCGUCUUUGGCGUCCGAGUUGUAAUUUGCAGAGGGCGCUUUGGCAUUGGCAGCGGUCCAAGUUCCUUGGAACAGGACGUCACAGAGGGUGAGAAUCCCGUACGUGGUCGCUAGCCUCUACCGUGUAAAGCCCCUUCGACGAGUCGAGUUGUUUGGGAAUGCAGCUCUAAAUGGGAGGUAAAUUUCUUCUAAAGCUAAAUACUGGCCAGAGACCGAUAGCGCACAAGUAGAGUGAUCGAAAGAUGAAAAGCACUUUGGAAAGAGAGUUAAAAAGCACGUGAAAUUGUUGAAAGGGAAGCGCUUGCAGCCAGACUUGCCUGUAGUUGCUCAUCCGGGUUUUUACCCGGUGCACUCUUCUAUGGGCAGGCCAGCAUCAGUUUGGGCGGUUGGAUAAAGGUCUCUGUCAUGUACCUCCUUUCGGGGAGGCCUUAUAGGGGAGACGACAUGCAACCAGCCUGGACUGAGGUCCGCGCAUCUGCUAGGAUGCUGGCGUAAUGGCUGUAAGCGGCCCGUCUUGAAACACGGACCAAGGAGUCUAACAUCUAUGCGAGUGUUUGGGUGUCAAGCCCGAACGCGUAAUGAAAGUGAACGGAGGUGGGAACCUUUCGGGGUGCACCAUCGACCGAUCCUGAUGUCUUCGGAUGGAUUUGAGUAAGAGCAUAGCUGUUGGGACCCGAAAGAUGGUGAACUAUGCUUGAAUAGGGUGAAGCCAGAGGAAACU
rnacentral:rRNA from 2 species